GGGGGUAUAGCUCAGUGGUAGAGCAUACGACUGCAGAUCGUAGGGCCCCCAGUUCAAACCUGGGUGUGCCCCCA